rnacentral:tmRNA from 1 species
GGGGGUGAAUUGGCUUCGACGGGGGUCGCGAAAUCACCUGGUGCAUGCCGAGGGGGCAGCUUUCCUCGUUAAUCCAGCGGCAAACUCAUAGUUGCCAACGACGACAACUACGCUCUCGCCGCUUAAGGCGUAAGCCCCGAACCCACUUGUGCCCGUGCUCGUGGAUGUAGGGUCAUCAUCACGGGAACCAGCCGCGGCGGCCGCCUGUCUGCCACGGCUGAACUCACAGGCUGGUUCCCGGGCGCGCUUCGCACGCCGUGCUGCCCGGGGACGAGAUCCAACGGCGGGCUAAGCAUGUAGGACCGGGGAUGGAGUGCCUUCGGACGGCGGUUCGACUCCGCCCACCUCCACCA